rnacentral:rRNA from 1 species
UACGUAGGGUGCAAGCGUUGUCCGGAAUUAGCUGGGCGUAAGGGCUCGUAGGCGGCCAACUAAGUCAGACGUGAAAUCCCUCGGCUUAACCGGGGAACUGCAUCUGAUACUGGAUGGCUUGAGUUCGGGAGAGGGAGUGCGGAAUUCCAGGUGUAGCGGUGAAAUGCGUAGAUAUCUGGAGGAACACCGGUGGCGAAGGCGGCAGUCCUGGACCGACACGUGACGCUGAGGAGGCGAAAGCCAGGGGA